UUGAGAACCCGACCCUAUCGAUUCCGGCAUCACGGGAACGUAUGUCGAUGACGGGGACGUUUUCGAAUGGUGGUGCAUCGCUUCGUCAGCCGCGGACUCGUCACGAGAAGAGUGACAACAGCGCAGCGCCAGGAGCUCAGAGGAGGAAGGUAACGGCGAUGCAGACAAAGGAACUGGAGAUAAUUUGAGUGAAGGGUGGGUUAGGUUCAUCUGGGAGAUCAGAUAUUCACUUGAUUAAAAACCACAAAGUUACAAUCUUCGUCUCACAACUCCAGUUAAACUGACGAUCAAAACGCGUCAUUAUUUGGAAACUUAAAGGUCUUUAUAGAUUAACAUAAGGACGUAAUUAAAUAAUAGGUUAAUACUGAUCAAAUUGUAUACAUCUUAACGAAUUGUACGCAAAUAAACAAAUAAACUUGCUUUAGAGUCCUUUUUGUCA